AUACAUGCAAGUUGAACGCUUCUUUCUUAUCGAACUUCGGUUCACCAAGAAAGAAGAGUAGCGAACGGGUGAGUAACACGUGGGUAACCUGCCCAUCAGCGGGGGAUAACACUUGGAAACAGGUGCUAAUACCGCAUAAUACUUUUUCUCUCAUGAGUGAAAGUUGAAAGGCGCUUUUGCGUCACUGAUGGAUGGACCCGCGGUGCAUUAGCUAGUUGGUAGGGUAACGGCCUACCAAGGCAACGAUGCAUAGCCGACCUGAGAGGGUGAUCGGCCACACUGGGACUGAGACACGGCCCAGACUCCUACGGGAGGCAGCAGUAGGGAAUCUUCGGCAAUGGACGAAAGUCUGACCGAGCAACGCCGCGUGAGUGAAGAAGGUUUUCGGAUCGUAAAACUCUGUUGUUAGAGAAGAACAAGGAUGAGAAGAGAAUGUUCAUCCCUUGACGGUAUCUAACCAGAAAGCCACGGCUAACUACGUGCCAGCAGCCGCGGUAAUACGUAGGUGGCAAGCGUUGUCCGGAUUUAUUGGGCGUAAAGCGAGCGCAGGCGGUUCUUUAAGUCUGAUGUGAAAGCCCCGGCUCAACCGGGGAGGGUCAUUGGAAACUGGGGAACUUGAGUGCAGAAGAGGAGAGUGGAAUUCCAUGUGUAGCGGUGAAAUGCGUAGAUAUAUGGAGGAACACCAGUGGCGAAGGCGGCUCUCUGGUCUGUAACUGACGCUGAGGCU
rnacentral:rRNA from 1 species